CUGACCCCGGGGAGGGACGGUCCCAAGAAGAUCCGGUGCAAGCUGCAGCACACGCUGGUCCUGGAGCUGGAUGGGACCCUGCUCUACUCCUCCCUGCUCGCCCACGGGCGGCAGGACGCCACGGCCACCUUCACCAUGGGCUUCCAGGCGAGUUCCUACGAGGUCCACGUGAAGCUGCGUCCACACGUGCAGGAGUUUUUGGAGAGCCUUUCCAAGACCUAUGAGAUCUUCAUCUACACCACUGCCAAGAAGGACUAUGCCAAGAAGCUCCUGGAGGUGCUGGACCCCAAGAAGAAGCUGAUCAGG